GUGAAUCAUCGAAUUUUUGAACGCAAAUUGCACUCUCUUCGGAGAGUAUGCCUGUUUGAGGGUCAGCCUAUAAAAAAUCGACAUAGUUGCUGUUUCGCGGUGGCGUUCGUCGGAAAUCGGGUCAUCUUAAAUCUUUUGGUUUUAAGCGACUUAAAAUUUUCUUUUUGGUUCCAUGAACGUUUCUAAGAUUUAUUUCUUUAAAGUUUAAAGGUAUCGUCUUUUUUUGAAGGUGACGUUCAUACCG
rnacentral:misc_RNA from 1 species